UACAGAGGUGGCGAGCGUUAUUCGGAAUUAUUGGGCGUAAAGGGCGCGUAGGCGGCCAAACAAGUCCCGGGUGAAAUCCCUCGGCUCAACCGAGGAACUGCCUUGGAAACUGUCUGGCUCGAGGCCGGGAGAGGGUAGUGGAAUUCCCAGUGUAGCGGUGAAAUGCGUAGAUACUGGGAAGAACACCGGUGGCGAAGGCGGCUACCUGGACCGGUUCUGACGCUGAUGCGCGAAAGCGUGGGGAGCAAACAGG
rnacentral:rRNA from 1 species